UCUAAUGUCUUUGGUGCCCAAAAUCAUUUUCCAUUCCCAAAUCACGUUUCACUUUGCUUCUCUAAAAUUAGGGCAACUCCAUCUUUGGUUAUUUUAAUUAAGGAUAUGUGAUUCGUCCUUUGCUUAAAACUAGGGUUAAACUACAUGGGAUUGAUAAAACGAACGGCGAAGUUGCUGUUCAGGAGUCGAAAUAACAUAGUGUGGUGAACAAGUCGAUCAAAAUUGAAGCUUGUAACAACAAUUCGUUGGAAUCUAUGGUGGUUAUAUUGGUAAAAGGAACAAUUAAGAUGAACAUCUAUAUUUAAAGUUGAUGUUAGGAACUGAAAUGAUCAAGCUUGAAGAUCAAACCAUUGGAAACUCAUCAAGCAAAUGUAGUGGUCAAACCUAUACACUGUAGAAAGUGGUUAGUUACUUGCUGCUCAUGAACAGCGGCCAGGCUACCUAGCGUUUUUGUGGCAUAGAUGGGCUAAUUUUAAGAUUUUGUAUUUCGGAUUUUGCGGUUUGAUCCCUCGUUAAGAAGAUGAAGAUGCUAUUUUUAGCCAAUAAUGUUGUACAAAAAGAGAAGGAUCACUAGAGGUCCAUAGUAUUGGUAUUGGUACUUUAGUCCACAACAACUCUUUACCGGUUAACGAAAUAUCAUCUUCAAGAAGAUAUAAUAUUAAUGGACAAGAAAGACUUUUGGACAAUUGAUCUUUAAAAGUUUGUUGACAUUGUAGUUAAGGGUAGAUAUCCUAAGAAGCUUUGGAGCUAUGUUUUAUAACAAUGAAAUUCUCACCUAAAAGAAUGUUUAGACUCCUCGUAUAUGAUAAUGGCAGGGUAGAUAUCCUAAGAAGCUUUGGAGCUAUGUUUUAUAACAAUGAAAUUCUCACCCAAAAGAAUGUUUAGACUCCUCGUAUAUGAUAAUGGUAGGGUAGAUAUCCUAAGAAGCUUUGGAGCUAUGUUUUAUAACAAUGAAAUUCUCACCCAAAAGAAUGUUUAGACUCCUCGUGUAUACAUUAGAAAUUUGGAAUAUGUUUCGGAUCGAA